ACAUACCUAUCGUUGCUUCGGCGGGAUGCCCCAGUUUUGACUUAAAACUGGACCCAGGCGCCCGCCGGAGGACCCAAACUCUUGUUUUUAUAUGUAUCUUCUGAGUAAACAAGCAAAUAAAUUAAAACUUUCAACAACGGAUCUCUUGGUUCUGGCAUCGAUGAAGAACGCAGCGAAAUGCGAUAAGUAAUGUGAAUUGCAGAAUUCCGUGAAUCAUCGAAUCUUUGAACGCACAUUGCGCCCGCCAGUAUUCUGGCGGGCAUGCCUGUUCGAGCGUCAUUUCAACCCUCAAGCCCCCGGGCUUGGUGUUGGGGCUCGGCCCGUCCCUAGCGGAUGCGCCGUCCCCGAAAUCUAGUGGCGGUCUCGCUGUAGCCUCCUCUGCGUAGUAGCUAACACCUCGCAAUGGGAACGCAGCGCGGCCACGCCGUUAAACCCCCCACUUCUGAAGGUUGACCUCGGAUCAGGUAGGAAUACCCGCUGAACUUAAGCAUAUCAAUAAGCGGAGGA
rnacentral:rRNA from 1 species